AGAGUUUGAUCCUGGCUCAGAUUGAACGCUGGCGGCAUGCUUUACACAUGCAAGUCGAACGGUAACAGGCCGCAAGGUGCUGACGAGUGGCGAACGGGUGAGUAAUGCAUCGGAACGUGCCCAGUCGUGGGGGAUAACGCAGCGAAAGCUGCGCUAAUACCGCAUACGAUCUAUGGAUGAAAGCGGGGGACCGUAAGGCCUCGCGCGAUUGGAGCGGCCGAUGUCAGAUUAGGUAGUUGGUGGGGUAAAGGCUCACCAAGCCAACGAUCUGUAGCUGGUCUGAGAGGACGACCAGCCACACUGGGACUGAGACACGGCCCAGACUCCUACGGGAGGCAGCAGUGGGGAAUUUUGGACAAUGGGGGCAACCCUGAUCCAGCCAUGCCGCGUGAGUGAAGAAGGCCUUCGGGUUGUAAAGCUCUUUCAGCCGGGAAGAAAUCAUAUGGGUUAAUACCCUGUGUGGAUGACGGUACCGGAAUAAGAAGCACCGGCUAACUACGUGCCAGCAGCCGCGGUAAUACGUAGGGUGCGAGCGUUAAUCGGAAUUACUGGGCGUAAAGCGUGCGUAGGCGGUUCGUUAAGUCAGAUGUGAAAGCCCCGGGCUCAACCUGGGAACUGCAUUUGAAACUGGCGAACUAGAGUUGAGUAGAGGGGAGUGGAAUUUCAGGUGUAGCGGUGAAAUGCGUAGAUAUCUGAAGGAACACCAGUGGCGAAGGCGACUCCCUGGACUCAAACUGACGCUGAGGUACGAAAGCGUGGGUAGCAAACAGGAUUAGAUACCCUGGUAGUCC
rnacentral:rRNA from 1 species